AAACAAGUGGGCGAGGAGGUAGAAUGAGAAAUUAUGUAUCUCCGAAUUUACGUAAGUCAGAUUUACAUAAAUCUGGGUUUCACUGUACAGAAAAUCUGAUAUAUGUAAAUGGAUCAUUUUCCAAAACUCUAUGCAAAUCAAAAUGUAUGUAUUUCAGAGUAUACUUUUCUUUUUACCAGGCUGGCCAUCCAAAUUGUUCUGUGAGCAACCCCUAAUAAAAUUUACAAUUUUUUAUUGGCCACAGAUUAAAUAUAUAUUAUUUUUAUUUUUAAAAUAUUUUUAUGUCAUAGCACUCUAGUUUAUUCAUAGUUCAUAUCAAGCUUAUAUAAAUAAUAACCUAGUAACAAAAUUAAUUUAGGUGUACGAUGGGCAAAACAAGAUUAUGGAAUUAUUAUUGUUAGUGGAAUACAAAUCAUUUUGUAGAAUGCAUAAAAGAAUAUGGCAGGCUAUGGGUUGGCUAGGCCUGCCUUAUAUAAUACUAGUUCAUCACAAAAAUAUAACAUAAAAAAAUAGUUGUUACAGAAUCUGCACAAAAGUCCACUGGAUGGCCAUAUUAUAAAACAGUUUCUUAUCAUCUUGGAGGAUCCAAACUCAAUUCCAAGACCUAUACAAUUAAGUUUUUCAGGAAGAGAUCUGGGUCCUGGCCCAGUUAUUAAUGAUAAACUAAUCUAAUAAAUAUAUAAAAUACAUAUAUAUAUAUAAUAAAUGAGGAAAUUAGGGGAAAAAAAUACUCAUAUCUAUAUUAUAUUUUUAUCUGCUUUCAUCAGUAUACUAUACUAUAUUUUUUUUGUAAGUCGGAAUUUCUAUAUAGCUCAAUCAGACACUCUAUACAGGGUGUUUCCAAAGUCCACUGACGGGCUUCCAGAGCGGGUUCUGCUGAUGAAAAUAAAUAAAAAAUGUCUUAUGAACAUAGUGUUGGAAAUGCGUAUUUAAUGGGUUAUAGCUUUUCUAAAACAGAAUUAUUUUAGUAAUACUCCAC
rnacentral:lncRNA from 1 species